UUAAAGUGGCAGGUCAAGCACUGUUGAGAACCCUGCUGAUGCCAGAAAAGGAUGGAGGAUCCAAGAAGCCUGAAGAAUGGGAGAAUAAAUAUUAAGAUAACUCUGUGUGCAGACGUGCUGACUUUUUCUAGGAGUAAAAAAAAGAAGGAACUGCAGGCUGGUUGUGGAUGCUCAGCCUCUAUGCCUGUGGAGCAGUGGCAAGGGCAUAUAUGAAGAAAAAUCUCCAGCUUCUGGAACCCUGUUAAGUAAAGAGAAGCUCAGCUUUCAGUGGGAUGAAAGCAACUUCAUAACCCUCUUAGCUGCAGAGAAGCUUGAAAAUGUGACCUUGGUGACUCUUCCAGGUAUAUGUUUAAAUCUCAUGAUUUUUAAGUCACUCUCAAUUUUUUGCAGGCUUUCCUUGUGCUUUAGGAACACUUGGAGUUGGUAAUACUUGUGAAUAUGGUGAACAGUAUAAAGAAAAAAAGAAGUCUUAGAUCUCUGUCUCACCUCGCUUAGAUUGGCAUAAAUCUGGAGCGAUUCCACUGACAUUAAUGGAUACAUGUCACUAAGUGGGAGGAAAGAAUCAGGCACUUCAUAUGACUCUUUUCUCUGUCUGUCUUAAUAGCAGUUCAAAAAACUUUAAUUAACUUUUUGGUACCAAAAUGUGAGAGUGUGUUAACUUUCUGGGUUUGAAAAAAUAGAUAACCUCAACAACAAUUACAAUUGGAAGUGUUAAUACAGCAAGACUUAGCAUCUGUUUACAUCUACUGUAGGAUGUAAACAAAGACUACAGAGCUGUUUUGGUGGGGAACAUUGAUUUUCUCUCCCCCCCCCCAAUCAAUUGUUGCAAAACACUUAGCAAAUAUUCCCUGCCUUGAUUUUGUUCAAGGUUAAAAUUUACUUGAAUUAUUGACAACCAAUCUGAUUAAACAUUAGGCCUUUUUUCUUAGAAAUAUAAUGAGAGUAAAUGGAAAUGAAAAAAAGAAGCAAACGUAUGCAUCCUUGCCAGGAGGACGGUUUUUAGAUGUCCUUUGAUCUUGUGCCCAGGAUGCCUUAAAGGGCUACAACGUCUUUCUCUGCAAAAAGCUCCAAGUAUUUCAAAACUUCCAGGCCAAAGCAGCCUCUUUGACCAGCAACGCAUCUUUCUCUGACUUCCCAGAAGGCAGCACAGAGGUUAAGAACUCAAGCAGCUGCUGUCAAGUGACAGAACUGUAAAUCUGUCUCAAGGGCACUG
rnacentral:lncRNA from 1 species